UCACCUGAAGCUACCCUACGGAGGUUUACGCUCCGACGCUCUCAGGUGUGACUCCUACCUGUUGGACGGGUUUCCGGCCAAGAAGUCGCUAGCUGGAGAGAUCGCUGGUCGUGAGUCGCGUUGGCAGUCGAAGAUCGCGCUCCAAACACAACUGACACGUCGGCGGCAAACGCAGUUACCAACUCUCGAUCGACCCCCCGACCAGAGAGCUGGAGUUCAACUCGAAAGUGAUAAAUGCAUAUUUAAAAAAAAAAGAAUAAUAAACUAAAAAUAAAACAAACUCAAGUGCCGCGAAGCUCGUGGAAAAAACGCGAUUAAAACGUGCUACCAAUCGUGGUCGUGCCGCGAUGUCAUUUAAUGCAACGCUCGGCACAUUCUUUUAAACGCUUUUGCUAAAUCGUUGUCUUUUUUGUUGAAAUUCAGAUUGCAGCACUCGCACUCGCAGCAUAAUUGUGCUCGAAUCUUACACA